rnacentral:lncRNA from 1 species
UAACAUUUUUGGAGUCCAGGCCAGUAUUUUGUUGAAUGUUCUUUAACUUGGGUUUAUGUGAUGUUUCCUCAUGAUUAGAUUCAGGUUUUGCAGUUUGGCAGGAACACUAAAGAAGUGGUGUUCUGUCCUUCUCAGUGUGUCAGACCAGGAGGCAUCUGCUGCCUGAUUGUCCCAUUAUUGCUCGUAUUAAGUUGGAUCACUUAGUAGAAAUGCUAACUGCUAGAUGCAUUGGAAAGAUAUAGUUCUUCUUUGUAAUUAAUAUGUAUUGCAUGGAGUUAUACUUUUAGAUUGUAUAAAUAUUCUUUUACGCCCCAAUUUCCCACUGAAUGAUUUUGGCACUCUUUGAUGAUCCUUGCCUGAAUCUAUUAUUUCUAUGGUGGUUCUGAGAGGGUGAUUUUCUGUUUCUAUCAUUCCUUCCACAUGCAUUCAUUGGCAUCUUUUCUUUUUCUUUUUUUCCUCCUUUAAAGGUUGGGUAUAGACUCAGCAAUUUUCAAAAAAUUCAAUGUUAUAUAUUCUUUUGUGUCAUUGAUCUUGGUUGGCUCCUGUGUCUUUUGGCAGGUCCCGAUCAGCUUUUGAGCAUGUUCUGAUGUUCUGAAACAAAAGAUGUUCCAGGAUCACCUUGUGCUUCCCUUGACCCAGCCCUGGAAUCAACCAUUUCUCCGUGGGAUCCUGCUUUUGUCUUUUGACUAUGGUGUUUAGACAUGGAAGCCAGGGUGCAGUCCUCCCAGCCUGGUGACUAAAUUUUAUAUUUGAAAAUGUAGGCCGGGCGUGGUGGCUCAUGCCUGUAAUCCCGGCACUUUGGGAGGCCAAGGCAGGUGAAUCACGAGGUCAGAGUUCAAGACCAGCCUGGCCAAGAUGGUGAAACCCCGUCUCUACUAAAAACACAAAAAAUUAGCUGGGCACGGUGGCAGACGCCUGUAAUCCCAGCUACUCGGGAUGCUGAGGUAGGUGAACCACUUGAACUCAGAGGGCAGAGGUUGCA